UGGGGAAUAUUGGACAAUGGGCGGAAGCCUGAUCCAGCCAUGCCGCGUGUGUGAAGAAGGCCUUUGGGUUGUAAAGCACUUUAAGCGAGGAGGAGGCUACUUGGAUUAAUACUCUAGGAUAGUGGACGUUACUCGCAGAAUAAGCACCGGCUAACUCUGUGCCAGCAGCCGCGGUAAUACAGAGGGUGCGAGCGUUAAUCGGAUUUACUGGGCGUAAAGCGUGCGUAGGCGGCUUCUUAAGUCGGAUGUGAAAUCCCUGAGCUUAACUUAGGAAUUGCAUUCGAUACUGGGAAGCUAGAGUAUGGGAGAGGAUGGUAGAAUUCCAGGUGUAGCGGUGAAAUGCGUAGAGAUCUGGAGGAAUACCGAUGGCGAAGGCAGCCAUCUGGCCUAAUACUGACGCUGAGGUACGAAAGCAUGGGGAGCAAACAGG
rnacentral:rRNA from 1 species